rnacentral:rRNA from 1 species
UACGUAGGGUGCGAGCGUUGUCCGGAAUUAUUGGGCGUAAAGAGCUCGUAGGCGGUGUGUCGCGUCGGCCGUGAAAACCUGCAGCUUAACUGUGGGCUUGCGGUCGAUACGGGCAUCACUGGAGUUCGGCAGGGGAGACUGGAAUUCCUGGUGUAGCGGUGAAAUGCGCAGAUAUCAGGAGGAACACCGGUGGCGAAGGCGGAUCUCUGGGCCUUACCUGACGCUCAGGCGCGAAAGCCUAGGGGAGCGAACAGA